rnacentral:rRNA from 1 species
CGAACGCUGGCGGCAGGUUUUAGGCAUGCAAGUCGAACGGGUGUAGCAAUACACUAGUGGCGAACGAGUGAGUAACGCGUGGGAAGCUACCCAUUACUGGGGAAUAACGUUUGGAAACGAACGCUAAUACCGCAUACUCCGGAAACGGGAAAGAUUUAUCGGUAGUGGAUGUGCCCGCGUUGGAUUAGCUUGUUGGUGGGGUAAUGGCCUACCAAGGCGAUGAUCCAUAGCUGGUCUUAGAGGACGAUCAGCCACGCUGGAACUGAGACACGGUCCAGACUCCUACGGGAGGCAGCAGCUAAGAGUAUUGGACAAUGGGGGAAACCCUGAUCCAGCCAUGCCGCGUGAAUGAAGAAGGCCUUCGGGUUGUAAAGUUCUUUUGGUUGUGAAGAUGAUGACAGUAGCAGCAGAAAAAGCACCGGCUAACUUCGUGC